rnacentral:lncRNA from 1 species
GGUUUAGGAUUUAGGGUUUAGGGUUUGAUUUAGGAUUUAGAGUUUGGUUAGGAUUUCAUCUAGGAUUUAUUUUAGGAUUUGAUUAGGGUUUGAUUUAGGCUUUAGGAUUUGGUUUAGGAUUUGGUUAGAAUUUGGUUUAGGAUUUGGUUUAGGAUUUGGUUUAGGAUUUGGUUUAGGAUUUGAUUUAGGGUUUAGAUUUCGAUUAGGGUUUCAUUUAGGAUUUGGUUUAGGAUUUGGUUGGAGUUUGGUUUAGGAUUUAGAAUUUGGUUAAAGUUUAGUUUAAGAUUUAGAGUUUGGUUAGGAUUUCAUUUAAGAUUUAGGAUUUGGUUUAGGAUUUGAUUUAAGAUUUGUUUAGGAUUUGGUUUAGGAUUUAGGAUUUGGUUAGGAUUUUAUUUAGGAUUUGGAUAGAAUUUGGUUUAGGAUUUGAUUAAGGUUUGAUUUAGGAUUUAGGAUUUGGUUUAGAAUUUAGGGUUUGAUUUAGGAUUUAGGAUUUUAUUAGGAUUUUUUAAGGGUUUAAUAUUAAAUUAGUUUUGGCUUGAAGUUUGAAUGAAGUCCAAUAGGAUUUUAACUAGAAUUAAAUUAAGAUUGAAUUGAGAUGUAUUUAAGUGAUAUUUGUAAUCAUUCUUAUAUUUCUUGAAGAUUUUUUAUUGUUUCUUUAAAAUUUCUUUGAAGUUUCUUUGAAUUUGAUUAAAGCUUGCUUAGCACUAUUAUGAUCUAAUUAGAAUUUAGUUAGUAUUUUAUUAUAGUUAAGAUUUU